CCUACGGGUGGCUGCAGUGAGGAAUAUUGGUCAAUGGGCGCGAGCCUGAACCAGCCAAGUCGCGUGAGGGAAGACGGUCCUAUGGAUUGUAAACCUCUUUUGUCGGGGAGCAAAAGACGCCACGCGUGGCGUUCCGAGAGUACCCGAAGAAAAAGCAUCGGCUAACUCCGUGCCAGCAGCCGCGGUAAUACGGAGGAUGCGAUCGUUAUCCGGAUUUAUUGGGUUAAAGGGGUGCGCAGGCGGAAGAUCAAGUCAGCGGUAAAAUUGAGGGGCCCAACCUCUUCGAGCCGUUGAAACUGGUUGUCUUGAGUGAGCGAGAGGUAUGCGGAAUGCGUGGUGUAGCGGUGAAAUGCAUAGAUAUCACGCAGAACUCCGAUUGCGAAGGCAGCAUACCGGCGCUCAACUGACGCUCAUGCACGAAAGUGUGGGUAUCGAACAGGAUUAGAUACCCUUGUAGUC
rnacentral:rRNA from 1 species